UACGUAGGGUGCAAGCGUUAAUCGGAAUUACUGGGCGUAAAGCGCGCGUAGGCGGCUCUUCAAGUCAGGCGUGAAAGCCCCGGGCUUAACUCGGGAACUGCGCUUGAUACUGUCGAGCUAGAGUGUGGAAGGGGCGAUUGGAAUUCCGUGUGUAGCGGUGAAAUGCGUAGAUAUACGGAGGAACACCAGAGGCGAAGGCGGAUCGCUGGGCCAACACUGACGCUGAUGCGCGAAAGCUAGGGGAGCAAACGGG
rnacentral:rRNA from 1 species